UUUUAUGGAGAGUUUGAUCCUGGCUCAGGAUGAACGCUGGCGGCGUGCCUAAUACAUGCAAGUCGAGCGAA
rnacentral:rRNA from 2 species